rnacentral:rRNA from 1 species
CCCUUAGACGUUCUGGGCCGCACGCGCGCUACACUGACCAGUGCAACAAGCAUCCGUCCUUGGCCGACAGGCUCGGGCAAUCUUUGAACGCUGGUCGUGAUGGGGAUAGACUUUUGCAAUUUUUGGUCUUCAACGAGGAAUUCCUAGUAAACGCAAGUCAUCAACUUGCAUUGAUUACGUCCCUGCCCUUUGUACACACCGCCCGUCGCACCUACCGAUUGAAUGGUCCGGUGAAGACUCCGGAUUGGCGCGCACCUCGGUGCCGCCGAGAAGUUGGCUAAACCUUACCAUUUAGAGGAAGGUGAAGUCGUAACA